rnacentral:rRNA from 1 species
CUUGUGCCAGCAGCCGCGGUAAUACAGAGGGUGCAAGCGUUAAUCGGAAUUACUGGGCGUAAAGCGCGCGUAGGUGGUUCGUUAAGUUGGAUGUGAAAUCCCCGGGCUCAACCUGGGAACUGCAUUCAAAACUGACGAGCUAGAGUAUGGUAGAGGGUGGUGGAAUUUCCUGUGUAGCGGUGAAAUGCGUAGAUAUAGGAAGGAACACCAGUGGCGAAGGCGACCACCUGGACUGAUACUGACACUGAGGUGCGAAAGCGUGGGGAGCAAACAGGAUUAGA